rnacentral:rRNA from 1 species
AUUGAACGCUGGCGGCAUGCCUUACACAUGCAAGUCGAACGGCAGCACGGGAGCAAUCCUGGUGGCGAGUGGCGAACGGGUGAGUAAAGCAUCGGAACGUGCCCAGUCGUGGGGGAUAACGUAGCGAAAGUUACGCUAAUACCGCAUACGAUCUAUGGAUGAAAGCGGGGGAUCGCAAGACCUCGCGCGAUUGGAGCGGCCGAUAUCAGAUUAGGUAGUUGGUGGGGUGAAGGCUCACCAAGCCGACGAUCUGUAGCUGGUCUGAGAGGACGACCAGCCACACUGGGACUGAGACACGGCCCAGACUCCUACGGGAGGCAGCAGUGGGGAAUUUUGGACAAUGGGCGAAAGCCUGAUCCAGCCAUGCCGCGUGCAGGAUGAAGGCCUUCGGGUUGUAAACUGCUUUUGUACGGAACGAAAAGGUUUGGCCUAAUAAGCUGAGCUCAUGACGGUACCGUAAGAAUAAGCACCGGCUAACUACGUGCCAGCAGCCGCCGUAA